rnacentral:rRNA from 1 species
AUUGAACGCUGGCGGCAUGCUUUACACAUGCAAGUCGAACGGUAACAGGCCUUCGGGUGCUGACGAGUGGCGAACGGGUGAGUAAUGCAUCGGAACGUGCCCAGAGGUGGGGGAUAACGCAGCGAAAGCUGUGCUAAUACCGCAUGUGAUCUGAGGAUGAAAGCGGGGGACCAGGCAGCAAUGUUUGGCCUCGCGCCUUUGGAGCGGCCGAUGUCAGAUUAGGUAGUUGGUGGGGUAAAGGCCUUCCAAGCCGACGAUCUGUAGCUGGUCUGAGAGGACGACCAGCCACACUGGGACUGAGACACGGCCCAGACUCCUACGGGAGGCAGCAGUGGGGAAUUUUGGACAAUGGGCGCAAGCCUGAUCCAGCAAUGCCGCGUGCGGGAAGAAGGCCUUCGGGUUGUAAACCGCUUUUGUACGGAACGAAAAGGCUCUGGCUAAUACCUGGGGCUGAUGACGGUACCGUAAGAAUAAGCACCGGCUAACUACGUG